rnacentral:rRNA from 1 species
GUGCUUAACACAUGCAAGUCGAGCGGAUUCCGGCAGCACAUCGCCGGAGUUAGCGGCAGACGGGUGAGUAACACUUGGGCAAUCUGCCCUCGAGAGGGAGACAACCUGCCGGAAGGCGGGCUAAUAUCCCGUAAGACCACAGGGUCGCAUGACCUAGGGGUCAAAGCUCCGCAAGGGGCGCUUGAGGAGGAGCCCGAGGCCUAUCAUGGUAGUUGGCGGGGUAACGGCCCACCAAGCCGUUGACGGGUAGCCGGCCUGAAAGGGUGAACGGCCACACUGGCACUGAGACACGGGCCAG